AGCGUAGCUAAUGCCGCAUGCGCCCCUUCGGGGGAAAGCGGGGGACCUUCGGGCCUCGCACUAUUAGAGCGGCCGAUAUCGGAUUAGCUAGUUGGUGGGUAACGGCUCACCAAGGCGACGAUCCGUAGCUGGUUUAGAGGACGACCAGCCACCUGGGACUGAGACGGCCAGACUCCUACGGGAGGCAGCAGUGGGAAUUUUGGACAAUGGGGAAACCUGAUCCAGCCAUCCCGCGUGUGCGAUGAAGGCCUUCGGGUUGUAAAGCACUUUUGGCAGGAAAGAAACGGCGGAUGUCCCGAUACAGCGUACCUGCAGAAUGACUGCGGCUAACUGCGUACCCAGCAGCCGCGGUAAUACGUAGGGUGCGUUAAAUCGAGUGCGACUCUGGCAUUUGCGCAAGCGGUUCGAAAAAAUGGCCGUCCCAAAGCUUACUUUGGAACUGCAUUUUUAACUACCGAGCUAGAGUGUCAGAGGGAGGUGGAAUUCCGCGUCGUAACGGUGAGUAAAGCAGAUAUGCGGAGGAACACCGAUGGCGAAGGCAGCCUCCUGGGAUAACACUGAUAGCUCAUGCCUUUUAGCGGUAAGGGAGCAAACAGGAUUAGAUACCCUGGUAGUCCACGCCCUAAACGAUGUCAACUAGCUGUUGGGGCCUUCGGGCCUUGGUAGCGCAACUAACGCGUGAAGUUGACCGCCUAGAGUACGGUCGCAAGAUUAAAACUCAAGAUUGACGGGGACCCGCACAAGCGGUGGAUGAUGUGGAUUAAUUCGAUGCAACGCGAAAAACCUUACCUACCCUUGACAUGUCUGGAAUCCCGAAGAGAUUUGGGAGUGCUCGCAGAGAACCGGAACACAGGUGCUGCAUGGCUGUCGUCAGCUCGUGUCGUGAGAUGUUGGGUUGGGGUCCCGCAGCGAGCGCAACCCUUGUCAUUAGUUGCUACGAAAGGGCACUCUAAUGAGACUGCCGGUGACAAACCGGAGGAAGGUGGGGAUGACGUCAAGUCCUCAUGGCCCUUAUGGGUAGGGCUUCACACGUCAUACAAUGGUCGGGACAGAGGGUCGCCAACCCGCGAGGAGGCCAGCUCGAAACCCGAUCGUAGUCCGGAUCGCAGUCUGCAGCUCGACUGCGUGAAGUCGGAAUCGCUAGUAAUCGCGGAUCCAGCAUGUCGCGGUGAAUACGUUCCGGGUCUUGUACACACCGCCCGUCACACCAUGGGGUGGGUUUUUACCAGAAGUAGUUAGCCUAACCGUAAGGGCGAUUACAGUAGGAUUCAUGACUGGGGUGAAGUCGUAACAAGGUAA
rnacentral:rRNA from 1 species